AGCCCAGAGCCUGAAUCAGUGUGUGUGUUAGUGGAAGCGUCUGGAAAGGCGCGCGAUACAGGGUGACAGCCCCGUACACAAAAAUGCACAUGCUGUGAGCUCGAUGAGUAGGGCGGGACACGUGGUAUCCUGUCUGAAUAUGGGGGGACCAUCCUCCAAGGCUAAAUACUCCUGACUGACCGAUAGUGAACCAGUACCGUGAGGGAAAGGCGAAAAGAACCCCGGCGAGGGGAGUGAAAAAGAACCUGAAACCGUGUACGUACAAGCAGUGGGAGCACGCUUAGGCGUGUGACUGCGUACCUUUUGUAUAAUGGGUCAGCGACUUAUAUUCUGUAGCAAGGUUAACCGAAUAGGGGAGCCGAAGGGAAACCGAGUCUUAACUGGGCGUUAAGUUGCAGGGUAUAGACCCGAAACCCGGUGAUCUAGCCAUGGGCAGGUUGAAGGUUGGGUAACACUAACUGGAGGACCGAACCGACUAAUGUUGAAAAAUUAGCGGAUGACUUGUGGCUGGGGGUGAAAGGCCAAUCAAACCGGGAGAUAGCUGGUUCUCCCCGAAAGCUAUUUAGGUAGCGCCUCGUGAACUCAUCUCCGGGGGUAGAGCACUGUUUCGGCAAGGGGGUCAUCCCGACUUACCAACCCGAUGCAAACUGCGAAUACCGGAGAAUGUUAUCACGGGAGACACACGGCGGGUGCUAACGUCCGUCGUGAAGAGGGAAACAACCCAGACCGCCAGCUAAGGUCCCAAAGUCAUGGUUAAGUGGGAAACGAUGUGGGAAGGCCCAGACAGCCAGGAUGUUGGCUUAGAAGCAGCCAUCAUUUAAAGAAAGCGUAAUAGCUCACUGGUCGAGUCGGCCUGCGCGGAAGAUGUAACGGGGCUAAACCAUGCACCGAAGCUGCGGCAGCGACGCUNNNNNNNNNNNNNNNNNNNNNNNNNNNNNNNNNNNNNNNNNNCUGGAGGUAUCAGAAGUGCGAAUGCUGACAUAAGUAACGAUAAAGCGGGUGAAAAGCCCGCUCGCCGGAAGACCAAGGGUUCCUGUCCAACGUUAAUCGGGGCAGGGUGAGUCGACCCCUAAGGCGAGGCCGAAAGGCGUAGUCGAUGGGAAACAGGUUAAUAUUCCUGUACUUGGUGUUACUGCGAAGGGGGGACGGAGAAGGCUAUGUUGGCCGGGCGACGGUUGUCCCGGUUUAAGCGUGUAGGCUGGUUUUCCAGGCAAAUCCGGAAAAUCAAGGCUGAGGCGUGAUGACGAGGCACUACGGUGCUGAAGCAACAAAUGCCCUGCUUCCAGGAAAAGCCUCUAAGCAUCAGGUAACAUCAAAUCGUACCCCAAACCGACACAGGUGGUCAGGUAGAGAAUACCAAGGCGCUUGAGAGAACUCGGGUGAAGGAACUAGGCAAAAUGGUGCCGUAACUUCGGGAGAAGGCACGCUGAUAUGUAGGUGAAGUCCCUCGCGGAUGGAGCUGAAAUCAGUCGAAGAUACCAGCUGGCUGCAACUGUUUAUUAAAAACACAGCACUGUGCAAACACGAAAGUGGACGUAUACGGUGUGACGCCUGCCCGGUGCCGGAAGGUUAAUUGAUGGGGUUAGCCGCAAGGCGAAGCUCUUGAUCGAAGCCCCGGUAAACGGCGGCCGUAACUAUAACGGUCCUAAGGUAGCGAAAUUCCUUGUCGGGUAAGUUCCGACCUGCACGAAUGGCGUAAUGAUGGCCAGGCUGUCUCCACCCGAGACUCAGUGAAAUUGAACUCGCUGUGAAGAUGCAGUGUACCCGCGGCAAGACGGAAAGACCCCGUGAACCUUUACUAUAGCUUGACACUGAACAUUGAGCCUUGAUGUGUAGGAUAGGUGGGAGGCUUUGAAGUGUGGACGCCAGUCUGCAUGGAGCCGACCUUGAAAUACCACCCUUUAAUGUUUGAUGUUCUAACGUUGACCCGUAAUCCGGGUUGCGGACAGUGUCUGGUGGGUAGUUUGACUGGGGCGGUCUCCUCCUAAAGAGUAACGGAGGAGCACGAAGGUUGGCUAAUCCUGGUCGGACAUCAGGAGGUUAGUGCAAUGGCAUAAGCCAGCUUGACUGCGAGCGUGACGGCGCGAGCAGGUGCGAAAGCAGGUCAUAGUGAUCCGGUGGUUCUGAAUGGAAGGGCCAUCGCUCAACGGAUAAAAGGUACUCCGGGGAUAACAGGCUGAUACCGCCCAAGAGUUCAUAUCGACGGCGGUGUUUGGCACCUCGAUGUCGGCUCAUCACAUCCUGGGGCUGAAGUAGGUCCCAAGGGUAUGGCUGUUCGCCAUUUAAAGUGGUACGCGAGCUGGGUUUAGAACGUCGUGAGACAGUUCGGUCCCUAUCUGCCGUGGGCGCUGGAGAACUGAGGGGGGCUGCUCCUAGUACGAGAGGACCGGAGUGGACGCAUCACUGGUGUUCGGGUUGUCAUGCCAAUGGCACUGCCCGGUAGCUAAAUGCGGAAGAGAUAAGUGCUGAAAGCAUCUAAGCACGAAACUUGCCCCGAGAUGAGUUCUCCCUGACCCUUUAAGGGUCCUGAAGGAACGUUGAAGACGACGACGUUGAUAGGCCGGGUGUGUAAGCGCAGCGAUGCGUUGAGCUAACCGGUACUAAUGAACCGUGAGGCUUAACCUU
rnacentral:rRNA from 1 species